rnacentral:tRNA from 1 species
UCUCUGAUAGCUCAGUUGGUAAAAGAAUCUGCCUGCAAUGCAGGAGACCCUGGUUCGAUUCCUGGGUCAAGAA